rnacentral:rRNA from 1 species
UGGGGAAUAUUGGACAAUGGGCGAAAGCCUGAUCCAGCCAUGCCGCGUGAGUGAUGAAGGCCUUAGGGUUGUAAAGCUCUUUUAGCAGGGAAGAUAAUGACGGUACCUGCAGAAAAAGCCCCGGCUAACUUCGUGCCAGCAGCCGCGGUAAUACGAAGGGGGCUAGCGUUGCUCGGAAUUACUGGGCGUAAAGCGCACGUAGGCGGACUCUUAAGUCGGUGGUGAAAUCCUGGAGCUCAACUCCAGAACUGCCUUCGAUACUGGGAGUCUUGAGUUCGGGAGAGGUGAGUGGAACUGCGAGUGUAGAGGUGAAAUUCGUAGAUAUUCGCAAGAACACCAGUGGCGAAGGCGGCUCACUGGCCCGAUACUGACGCUGAGGUGCGAAAGCGUGGGGGGCAAACA